rnacentral:rRNA from 1 species
ACGAACGCUGGCGGCGUGCCUAAUACCUGCAAGUAGAACGCUGAAGGAGGAGCUUGCUCUUCUGGAUGAGUUGCGAACGGGUGAGUAACGCGUAGGUAACCUGCCUGGUAGCGGGGGAUAACUAUUGGAAACGAUAGCUAAUACCGCAUAACAUUGACUAUUGCAUGAUAGUCAAUUAAAAGGUGCAAAUGCACCACUACCAGAUGGACCUGCGUUGUAUUAGCUAGUUGGUGGGGUAACGGCUCACCAAGGCGACGAUACAUAGCCGACCUGAGAGGGUGAUCGGCCACACUGGGACUGAGACACGGCCCAGACUCCUACGGGAGGCAGCAGUAGGGAAUCUUCGGCAAUGGACGGAAGUCUGACCGAGCAACGCCGCGUGAGUGAAGAAGGUUUUCGGAUCGUAAAGCUCUGUUGUAAGAGAAGAACGAGUGUGAGAGUGGAAAGUUCACACUGUGACGGUAUCUUACCAGAAAGGGACGGCUAACUACGUG